GAGACGCCGGUGAUGACAAAACUAUCACAUUUGCACGUCAGUCUUAGCUAGCCCAUGCGGACUAUUACUACGGUUACUGAGGCUACUC
rnacentral:snoRNA from 1 species